UCUUUGGUUAUGACCGCCCUGUGUCUUUGAGCUGAAAUGAUAAAACUAUGGCAUGUUAUUGAUGUAUCUUGUUCCUGAACAGUAUCUGCUCUUGUUCAUCCUCCGUUGUCUCUGUAAAUAGAUGUACCUCAGCCCCUUGAAUAUCCUGUCACUCGUCUGCUCUCGGGCGCGGUCUCAAGGCAAAAACCCACAGGAAGUAUAUUAACAAUAUGAGUGUAAGAAGCAGCCAAAAGUGACUUGCAGAGAAGACGCAAGCUGAAGGGAAAUUGGCCGUUUGAGGUGACUGGGAAAAAAAGAAACGCAUAACAGGCACGGAUAUGAUGGUGGACAGUACAGCCAGGAAUAUGAUGACCCCAUUUGUGAGAUCUUCGUCUAUCCUGCUACUGAUACUGCAGGUUUCACUCGCCUCAUCCAAUAAAAAGGAGAGCAGUGGAAGCACACUAACGGUUGUCUUUCUUGUAUUGCUGUUGGUUGUACUCUGUGUUGCUCUCAUUUUGGCAUGGAAGCGACUCAUCCACAUUGACGGUGGUGAAGGCUACCAUCCUCAGAAGCUGUGGGGAAGGGCACAGGAAAUGGUGCAGAAUGUUAAGAGCCGACUGAACCGUGAUGAUGAUGAUGAAGAAGAAGAAGAGGUGGGAAGCAUAGCAGGCGAUAAGGAAGAUGAGGUAGAGGAGUCAGCUCCGCAUGAGGAGCCAGAUAUCACAGCUUUAUGAUAGGACUGAGUGGAAGAGAAGCUUACAACGUGUGAGAAGUCUGUGAUGUGAAUUGUGAAGUCUAUUCUUAACGUCUGUGUACAUUAGUCUACAUGCGGCUAAAAAUGUUUAUCAGAAUAUAAUGAAAUUAUCAAUGAUAGAAAUAGUCCAGUAGUUUAAAAUUAAAGUACCUUUUUCAGUUACUAUUUAAAAUAUAUAUAUUUUUUAAGUUUUUAAGUUUAUUAUAUUCCAAAUAACAUUGGGGGUCAUUCCGAGUUGAUCACACGUAGCAACUUUUUGCUGCUGGUGCGAUCAACUAGACGCCGUCUAUGGGGGAGUGUAUUUUAGCAAAGCAGGGCUUGUGCAGCCCUGCUAUGCUAAAAAGUUUUGUGUAAAACAAGACUAGCCCUGCAGUUACUUACCCUGAGCGAUGGAUCCAGCGAUGAAGGUCCCGGAAUUGACGUCCGACAUCCGCCCUCCAAACGCCUGAACGCGCCUGCGUUCGGAUCUCCACGCCCGGAAAAUAGUGAGUUGACGCCCUGGAUGCCUUCCUCCUGUCAUUCUUCUUGCAGUCGCCGAUGCGACCACUAUCUUUGUAUGCGGUGUCGCUGCCCGGUGACGGCUGCGCAUGCGCAGUUCCAAACCGCUCGCACCACUGUGAUGAACCGCAGAGUGCGAACGGGUCGGAAUGACCCCCAUUGUUAGAUGUAAGGAAACCACAUUUCCUUCUUAUUUUAUAUACAUUGCGCUCUUCUGAUGUAGGUGAAUUCUCAAUUUAGUCAUAAAAAGACCUUGAAGUAAUAUAUUCUUUUACUUGAUUUUAUAUUUUGACAGAAAUAAGCCAGGAAGUGCAGGCCUUUGACAGGAAAUGGUUAAUAGAGGAACUUUUACAAUAGUGCAGGCCAGUGACAGGAGAUAGUUUAUUGAGGAACUGCUCCCUCUAUUAUUUUUACCAAAUAGGACAAACUAGCUCAUUUCAACUCAGUUGUCUGGAUGGCGAACACCUGUAUGCAAGCUUAGCUCGCCCUGGAGUCUGGGAAGUCUUCCAAUAAUCUGGGAGGAUCAUAUGCAUUCCAGGACAGCAGUUUAUUCACCUUUAUUUCCACUGCCUUGUACUGCUAUUUUAAUAAAACCUGGUAAAGAUUAUGUUAAAAGUUUAUAUAAUUAUUGAUCAGUGAAAGUUAAUACACACAAUAGGGGUUGGCAACCCCCAGCUCUUGUGCUAGACAUGGCAUGGCAUUUGGAUCCCGGUUAGGAGCAGAAGCAGGGUUGUGCCAUUGCACUGGUGGUGGGUCAAGUGAUCACUUCCUCUGAACGCAGGGAGGGUACAGGUAAAAGUCAGUGUAAUCCAAUGAUGGCUGGUGGAGGAUAGUUUACUGUCCCACCUCUCUGCAUUAACUCCAGCGAGAGAGGUAAAUUGGGCAUAUAUGGAUUAUAUGGGGCAAAUAGAGGAGUACUGUCAGAACACAUUAGGAUCACGUGGAGGAGUGUGAUGUCAUAGAAGGGGCACAUGGAGAUAUGGCAUAUAAAAUGAACUUAGAUUAUAUACAAGACCUACUUGAGGACUGGAAACCUUUGAUAAAGUACUGCCAGGACGAAACAAAAUCAGACGUCCUCUUGAUUUGUAGCUGACUGCUGUGUUUCGUGGCUCGCCCACAAGUCCUGACCUUCCUUGGAGUGGGUGCAAGGGAUCAGGAACAACAUCUACCCGUUUCCAGCAUUGUUCAAAUAAGUUCAAAUAAUUGUUCAAAUGACUGUAUAUUUUUGUCUAUGUGAGAGACUUAUAUCUUUGUAUGUAAUAAAACCUUUACAAUAUUA